GGGUAUAGCUCAAGUGGUAGAGUGCGUGCUUAGCAUGCAUGAGGUCUGGGGUUCAAUCCCCAGUACCUCCA
rnacentral:tRNA from 1 species